UACCACAACAAGAGGACAUAGUCUUAAAUUAGAGGGACAAAGGUUUAAAAAUAAUAUCAGGAAGUAUUACUUUACUGAGAGGGUAGUUGAUGCAUGGAAUAGCCUUCCAGCUGAAGUGGUAGAGGUUAACACAGUAAAGGAGUUUAAGAAUGCGUGGGAUAGGCAUAAGGCUAUCCUAACUAUAAGAUAAGGCUAGGGACUAAUGAAAGUAUUUAGAAAAUUGGGCAGACUAGAUGGGCCGAAUGGUUCUUAUCUGCCGUCACAUUCUAUGUUUACGCCUAUAAAGUGAGCAGUAUAUUCCUGCUCACUUAUAUGUGAGUAGUAUACCUUUCUAAUAUUUUUAUCCGUUAUUGCGGUAUACAGAGAGCACUAUUUGUUUUUAUCUUUUUCUUCAUACCGAGGACCUGUACCCACCAACACCUAUUCCUACCACUGGGGGAUCAAUGCCACUGAAUGCUAUACACUCCUGAGCUGGCUAAAGUUCUACAAUAGGUGAGUGACAAGAAUUGUUUUUUACUGCCAUCAUCUUUCCAGUACAGUUUUACACUAUUGGAAUCUCUCUCUCUUAUCUGCAUGCUUCCACAUUAUCCGGAUACCUGAUUUAUUUGGAUCCCACAAGCCCCAUCGAUUCCACCUACUUAUCUCUUCAAUCAAACUUGGACUACUGUUUAUUUUAUACUGUUUUCGGGACUUUAUUCUAUUUUUAUCAAUUUUUAUGUAAGUACACAUUGUUUUUACUAUUAUUGUAUUACAAUUUACUAUGUAUGGGGGCUGCUUGUGGAAUUGUGUCUGUGGAUGAUAUGUCACAUUGUGUGUUUGGUGAUGUGUUUGUAUAUAUUAUAUGAGGGGGAGGCUUAUUCUGCAGUUCUGUGUAGCAUGGGUUGCUUCCCUUGGGUCCAGUGGGGGCUGCAAUAGCUGCUGCAGGG